rnacentral:lncRNA from 1 species
UGUUUUACGAGCUCACAACGAACUCGGUCGGUUUUCCCAGGCUCACCGACUAGAACCAACCCCGAUUGUUUUUCCGGGCUCACAAUCAAACCCUUACACACGUUGGUUUUAACUUGGCUCACCAACCAACCUUAAUCCCCUUGAUUCAAUCCCCCGAUUGAAUCAAGUAGAUACAAGAGAUAGAAGAAAACAGAAAAUAGCUUCUCAAAAAGCAGAUUUAAAACAAUAUAAUCGUAAAGGAGUUAGAAGC